rnacentral:tRNA from 1 species
UCCCUGGUGGCUCAGUCAGUAAAGAAUCUGCCUGCAAAGCAGGAGACCCAGGUUUGAUCCCUGGUUUGAGAU